GGAGGAGGCUAGCGUUGUUCGGAAUUACUGGGCGUAAAGCGCGCGCAGGCGGCUUGGCAAGUCAGGGGUGAAAGCCCGGGGCUCAACCUCGGAACUGCCCUUGAGACUGUCAGGCUGGAGACCGAGAGAGGAGAGUGGAAUUCCCAGUGUAGAGGUGAAAUUCGUAGAUAUUGGGAAGAACACCAGUGGCGAAGGCGGCUCUCUGGCUCGGUACUGACGCUGAGGCGCGAAAGCGUGGGGAGCAAACAGGAUUAGAUACCCUGGUAGUCCACGCUGUAAACGAUGGAUGCUAGACGUUGGGGGGCUUGCCCUUCGGUGUCGUAGCUAACGCGAUAAGCAUCCCGCCUGGGGAGUACGGCCGCAAGGUUA
rnacentral:rRNA from 1 species